rnacentral:lncRNA from 1 species
ACUGCCCAUGUUUUAAGUACAUUAAUACCAUAAAUAAAUCUAAAAAAUCUGACGUAAUAGCCCAUGAAUAUAAAGGGAAGGAAAGGACUCACCGAUAAGUCCCUUUGGGUAGAAAACCUCUCCCUUAGUCUUUCUCUUUCUACUUGUUGGUGCAAAAAUUCGCCUGCGUCGGGGAAGCUGGAGUCGAGGGAGUCGCGGUCACCGUCGGGACCUACAAAGGAAGUCUAAACCGGAGUUGGGGUUGCUCCGGUAAGAUCCUCCGAUGCUCAAGUCAGUUCUCUGCCUCAACA